rnacentral:rRNA from 1 species
UACGUAGGGUGCGAGCGUUGUCCGGAAUUAUUGGGCGUAAAGAGCUCGUAGGCGGUGUGUCGCGUCGGCCGUGAAAGCCCGGGGCUCAACUCCGGGCCUGCAGUCGAUACGGGCUGGCUUGAGUGCGGUAGGGGAGACUGGAAUUCCUGGUGUAGCGGUGAAAUGCGCAGAUAUCAGGAGGAACACCGGUGGCGAAGGCGGAUCUCUGGGCCAUUACUGACGCUGAGGAGCGAAAGCGUGGGGAGCGAACAGG